GGGGCUGUAGCUCAGCUGAUAGAGCGCCGCAUUCGCAUUGCGGAGGUCAGGGGUUUGAUUCCCCUCAGCUCCACCA
rnacentral:tRNA from 3 species